rnacentral:rRNA from 1 species
ACGGGUGAGUAAUACAUCGGAACGUGCCCUGUAGUGGGGGAUAACUAGUCGAAAGAUUAGCUAAUACCGCAUACGACCUGAGGGUGAAAGUGGGGGACCGCAAGGCCUCAUGCUAUAGGAGCGGCCGAUGUCUGAUUAGCUAGUUGGUGAGGUAAAGGCUCACCAAGGCGACGAUCAGUAGCUGGUCUGAGAGGACGAUCAGCCACACUGGGACUGAGACACGGCCCAGACUCCUACGGGAGGCAGCAGUGGGGAAUUUUGGACAAUGGGGGCAACCCUGAUCCAGCAAUGCCGCGUGUGUGAAGAAGGCCUUCGGGUUGUAAAGCACUUUUGUCCGGAAAGAAAUCGCACUUACUAAUAUUAGGUGUGGAUGACGGUACCGGAAGAAUAAGGACCGGCUAACUACGUGCCAGCAGCCGCGGUAAUACGUAGGGUCCAAGCGUUAAUCGGAAUUACUGGGCGUAAAGCGUGCGCAGGCGGUUGUGCAAGACCGAUGUGAAAUCCCCGGGCUUAACCUGGGAAUUGCAUUGGUGACUGCACGGCUAGAGUGUGUCAGAGGGGGGUAGAAUUCCAC